GAUCUGCUUCACAUACAUCAUCUUGCUGCAUUCAUGUCUAAAAUAUGGAAUGGCCUACAAACAAAGACAAUUAUUUCUGGUUUCUAAUUAGCAUCACAAUUGGAGAUAUUAGAUUUUUCUUCUUUUUGAAUCACUUCUGGCUUCAAACCAUGUUGCUAGUUAGCAAUUCCUGCCAGAAAGCAAAGCCAGAAGGUUUAAAAUCAAGCAAUAAGUAUAGAGGAACAGAAUAAAUGCUUUUCCCUAAAAAGCAGCUGGAAGAUUAGGAUUGUGGCCAUGCCACAGUACUAAAGAGAAAAGAGCUUAUUUUGACAAAAGGGUUAACAGAUAUUAAAAACAAAGCAUCAACUGAAGUGACAGAUAGGGCCUGGAAUUAGUGGGGCCAGAGGAGGUGCCUCAGGGCUCACUGGUAGCAGAUCCAGAUACUAGCAGGGGGAAAAACUUCUAUCAUCUUUUGCAGGUGUUUUAUUCAGAGAUGUAGGUAAGUAUCUGGUUUUGGUUGUUCUUGAAAAUUAUAAUUUAUAAGAUUCUUUUCUUCUGCAGAUGACUGCUUCCAGAACAUAAAUAUAGAUGAUAUAGAUAUAGAUAUUUUGUCCAAUUUGCAUAUGAGCCUUCUGAAGAAUGUAGUCAGAGCACUUAAUGCAACAAUUGGCGGAAAACAGCUUACUAGAUUUCAUUACUGAAGAAAGACUAGAAAUCUUCCAUUUUUAAGACAGUUGUCUUUGAAAUUUCAAACUAGUAUAUAAGCAAACAUGGAAGCUGCAACUGAAAGAAAAACAAACAAACAAAAAUCACCUUUCUGUGGACUGUAGGGAAGCCAGAAGAUCUUCAAGAGUCCUUGUCAUACUUGUUUAUUCCAAGACCAAAUGAUUCGACACAUAGAUGAGAGCAGCCCUAGAGAUGAAGAGAAUGGAGUGAAAAGUAUUGAAGAAAAUAGGUGUGGUGUUCUGCACCAGCAAUACAACACGAUUCCUUGUGCCCUGGCCUCAGGAGGAAAAAGAGGGUGUCAGAGAAGCUGUCACUCCAAAAGUGAGGGAGAUGAACUUCUGUGGAAUACUGAGAGCUCUUUUAACAGUGGGGGCCUGAGUGCUUGUGUUGUGUGUGUGUGUGUGUAGCAAAGUACUUAAAUUCCAAGGUGUAUGGUGCAGCUUUCUGUCUUGAACAAUCUUGUUUAAAUUAAUGUAGCAGGAGACCUAGAAAUCCAUGACUUCCCUACCUGUUGACUGGUUACUGAAAUCGUUUUGUCUUGUAUUAAAUGACUGACAAAGUGAUUUGUGCCAACCAUUACAACCGGUAUUGGUGACAUUUGGAAAAGAUUUAUUUGGGUCAAAUAAAUAUAUGGAAUUAAAAAAAAAAAAAAAUGUG
rnacentral:lncRNA from 1 species